rnacentral:rRNA from 1 species
UACGGGGGGGGCAAGCGUUGUCCGGAAUCACUGGGCGUAAAGGGCGCGUAGGUGGUCUGAUAAGGGUGUGGUGAAAGCCCGGGGCUCAACCCCGGGUCGGCCGUGCCGACUGUUAGACUAGAGUGCUGUAGGGGCAGGCGGAAUUCCGGGUGUAGCGGUGGAAUGCGUAGAGAUCCGGAGGAAGACCGGUGGCGAAGGCGGCCUGCUGGGCAGUUACUGACACUGAGGCGCGACAGCGUGGGGAGCAAACAGG